CAGCAGCCACGGGAACACGGAGGGAGCUAGCGUUGUUCGGAAUUACUGGGCGUAAAGCGCGCGUAGGCGGUUACUCAAGUCAGAGGUGAAAGCCCGGGGCUCAACCCCGGAACUGCCUUUGAAACUAGGUGACUAGAAUCUUGGAGAGGUCAGUGGAAUUCCGAGUGUAGAGGUGAAAUUCGUAGAUAUUCGGAAGAACACCAGUGGCGAAGGCGACUGACUGGACAAGUAUUGACGCUGAGGUACGAAAGCGUGGGGAGCAAACAGGAUUAGAUACCCCUGUAGUCCCUGUCUCUUAUAA
rnacentral:rRNA from 1 species